AUGACUGUUACGGUUCGGACGGGUUCCGGUCCGUCUGUAGAACGAGACCACUACAAUAAUAUUGUAUUAUUAUACUUUUAUUAUACUGCUGCCUGCUGGCGCUCUACCUCCGUCGUGUGCACGACACAUAUGUGCAGUGUGUCACCCCGACGAAACCACAACAAACAUCACGCAAAAUCAAAAAAAAAAAAACAUUUUAAGAGUUUCGCCCCUCGUCUCGUUUCCAAGAGAGACAAUGAAGAUUA